UCGCCUGUUUUAUCAAAAACAUAGCCCCUUGAAAUAAAUAAGAGGUUAAGCCUGCCCAAUGGGAUUAACCUAAAUGGCCGCGGUAUCCUAACCGUGCAAAGGUAGCAUAAUCAUUUGUCUCUUAAAUAGAGACCUGCAUGAAUGGCACAACAUUUUCUAACUGUCUCCUUUCUUUCACCUCCAAACUUCUACUAACGUGAAGAAGCGUUAAUACAAAAGAAAGACGAAAAGACCCUGUCGAGCUUAAACUUCCCAAAGAAAAUUUUAUUAUAAAAAAAAUUAUUCUUCUCUUCAAAGAAGUUUUGGUUGGGGUAACCAUGGAGUAUAAAAACUCUCCAGUAACUUAAAAAGAUAAAUAAUCACUUUUAAAAUUAAAAAAGAACCAAUAAUUUUGAUAAACAGAAAUAGUUACCGCAGGGAUAACAGCGUCAUCUCCUUUAAGAGUUCUCAUUGACAAGGAAGAUUGCGACCUCGAUGUUGGAUUGGGGUAACCAAAGGGUGCAACAGCUCUUUAAGGUUGGACUGUUCGUCCACUAACACCCUACGUGAUCUGAGUUCAGACCGGA
rnacentral:rRNA from 1 species